AAGAUUACUUCUUUCACUUCAUCGAACAAUCGUCGCCAAGAACCGUAGAGAGAUCUCGCGCGCAUAUCAUGAUUCUGCUGUUGAAAAAAGUCGUCGAAAUAAUUUUGGUGGGUCUCGUGGUAUUUGCGCACGCAAUACCGACUCCGAGUCCUUUCAAAUCCGGAGCAAUUACGGCUUAUCCGAUACCUCAAAGACCGCCUUACGCGCCAAAUCCAUGGAUCUAUCCGAGACCCACCACAGCGCAAUCCGUGGGGCGUUAAAUACUGUGUGAUUCCGGAUCACCGCACGUUCUACGCAAGAAUCCCAUUUGUUCUGGAGAGAAAAAACAUAUUUUUUUAUUAGCUAUCCGCAAAUCCCUCUAAUUGUUAACUUUCGAGCGAGAGAUACGUCGGAUCUGGCGGAAAUAUGCGUUUGUUGCAUUAAGGUACGAGAGCAUUAUCGAUGAUUUGACACACACACACACACACACACCGAUUAAUAAAUUUAUCAUCGAGAACAACGAGAUUGCGCUCGAAUUUAUUAAUAUCGUUAUGUGUAUAAAAGUGAAUUGUACAUAUUGACUCAUCUCAUAACUACAAUUGUAGAAGCGAGUUUAAUGUGUGAAUUGCGUAUAACAAUUAUAAAUAUAUUAUUAUCUGUUGCGUAUCCAAUUACUUAUAUACGUACUUGUCUACGCUCGCAUGAGAGAGACGCGCGCAUUACAAAAUGUAUCAAAUAUAGAAUAUCUUUUAGCUUAUCGUAUAUAUUAUUUUUUAUAUAUUUAUAAAUACAAUCUUAUUAAAAUCGAAUACCACACAUGG